CAUGAAUUGUUGGUUUGACUGCAAUAAUGCCCCACAGGGAAGGCGCCUGCCUGCUGUCAAUAGGCAGGGAGUUCCAGAGUGUAAGUGAAGCCACACUCAAAGAUCAGUUCUCUACAGAUGUGGAAUAGGAAUUAUUUGGCACAUGUAACAGGGCCAGUUCCACCAAUCGAAGUGAUCAAGUAGAUGUAUAGGGGGUAAGGGAAUCUUGUAGGUUUGCAUUUAAAAUCUGGAAUGCUCAAUAGUUAAUAACUUUCUGGGCUCCUGAGUCUCAAGGUUUACUACCCUUAAUUGGGCUGGCUUUAUUAUCAGACAGAGUGGUAGGAUCUGUGGACAGGGAUGGCUACUAGCCAUGGUAUCAGCUGCUGGGACUUUUAAGUGGGGAGAGUUGCUGCUGUUGCACUCGGGUCCUGCUUCAGAGCUUCCCAUUGGGGCAUCUAGUAGGCUAUGAUGAGGAUAGGAUGAUGGACUAAAGGGCCCCUCUUUAGCCUGAUCCAUCAGUCUCCUCUUUUCUAUGCUAAACAAAGCCAGCUCCUCCUAUCGCCUGGUUUCCAGAUACUUGAUCAUCUUGGCCGCCCUCCUCUGCGCAUGUUCCAGUAUGACAAUAUCCUUCUUAAAUUGUGGUGCCCAGAACUGGAUACAGAACUCCAGGUGUGGUCUGACCAAGGAGGAAUAGAGUGGGACCAUUACUUCCCCUGACCUUGGCACUAGACGUCUGUUGAUGCAGCCUAGAAUAGCAUUAGCUUUUUUGUUGCUGUUGUUGCUGCAUCACACUGUUGACUCGUGUGAAGCUUGUGGUCUACCAAGAGGUCCUUUUCAUGUGUACUGUUGAUUAGGGGUGUAGCCUGAUGUGGGUGCUCAUGACUUGAUGAAGCUGCUCAGCAAAGAAAACCAAUCUAGCAGAAGGUCUAGCAGAAAGUGCCUUACUGCACCAAAGCUUGACUUCUUCUCUCUGAUGUCUCCUUUUCAUCUGCUUUCUCUGCCAUUCAUUCUCAACAAGUUUUCAAAUAAUCUGCAAUAUUAAAGUGGGUUUGAGCGGAGUGGGGGGAAGGAAUCAGCAGCAUCUCUUGAAAUCAAUUCUGAACGUCUUUUUUAUCACUUGUGUCAAAUCUAUUUUUAAGAGACUGUCAAGAUUGAAAUUGUAUAUUCAAAGCAGGGCGGGGGGUUGGGAACACAUUAGCAUCCCUGCGCUGUGAGGCAUAAAUAUGUAAGAGUGGAGGAGAGAGGAUUUCUUAGGGUGUUGCCGAUGACAUCCUUCUGCAGAUAUCAAAGCACAUCCUCAACAGGUUUUAAUUCUGGAGUGAGAUCUGGCCUCCCUGCUUCCAAUGCUACAGAAUUAUCUGCUGGACUGUGCAUAUUCAGCAUCUACCUAAGCCUUUUAGUCUCUGUCCCCUCCAGAAAUUCCCCAAUCCCCACCGCACCCAAUACACUGACUCUUUCUACUAUACAGGGAUGGAGGAAAAAAUAAUUUGGUCCGCAUUUUAAAACUCAGCUGACCUAAGUCACACCUCCAGGGCAGGUACAUUUACAGGGAAAGCUGUUUGACACUUGAGGGGGACUCCCAUGGAAAGUGGUAGACUCUUCUGUCUUUGGAGGCUUUAAAGCACAGAUUUGAUGGCUAUGAGUUUGACUAGACCAAGGGUGCCCCAACUUUUUUCAAAGAGGGCCAGAUCUGGUGAGGUAAACAUGCGUGAGGGCCGACCAAAGUUGUUGAGCUUUUUUUUACAAUUUUACCCCAGGACAUUUACUGCCACAGGGGCCAUAUUAAAUCGGCCAGCAGGCCGGAUUAGGCCCCCAAAACAAAUGCCUGGACUAGACGAUCCUUGGGGGUACCCAAGGAUUUUGUAAUUCUGGUUCCAUGAAACUUUUGGCAUGCCACCCUCCUUCCAGCCUCUUCAACUAUCACAAUUUGCUCCUCAGCAAGACCUCUCAGGCUUGGAACAGGUUCUACUUCUCCAUAUAGCAAAAUUCAAUGGUGGUGUGUCAGAACAAGAAAAGCCCUUGGGAAUCAGGAGGAGGUAGUUGGGGCAGAAAUUUACCUCCCCCCCCACCCCACCCCACAUUUGUGUGUGUGUGGUGCAGAGCCAGGGAGAACUCACACCUGUCAAGGCCAACCACGAAAUACCGUAUUUUUUGCACCAUAACACUCACUUUUUUCCUCCUAAAAAGUAAGGGGAAAUGACUGUGCGUGUUAUGGAGGGAAUGCCUACGGGUGGCAUGCCUACCGAUUUUCCUCCUCUAAAAACUACGUGUGUGUUAUGGUCGGGUGCGUGUUAUAGAGCGAAAAAUACGGUAGUUGGUGCUGUCUUUAAGCAGGGAGAGAUUAUCUCAAGCACCAGCCUGUUGUUAAAUAUUCACUGGUGCAGACUUUUCCUUUUGCCUCAGUAGACCGGUGGAAAGAUGGAAAGUUGGGUAAUAAUUAGAUUUGCUGCCUCAGACCCUGCUUAAAUCAUUUUGGGUGAGGGGGUGCAUUGCAGUAACAAGAAUUGAGCCCAGCUGCUGUUUCCAUCUGCACUAAAAGCCCUUUGAAAGGAAGCAGAAGAGGGGGGAGGGGAGCAUUUGUUACAUCCUUCAUUUGCAGCAAACUGACCCAGUCCAAUGCUCUUGAGCCUAGCUGCAGAUCCCAGUGAGCUGACACCCCCCCCCCUUUCCACAUUUUGCAAUUGGGUUUUGCUGCAGUUUCAAUUAUUUGGGGUUGAUUCGUAUCAUUUAUUUGUUAUAUAUAACCUAUGCUACAAGGCACUAGUUUGCGCAAAAGAUGGCUGCAGCACCUCUGGUUUGCACACUGUCUCAGAGGGAUUCUCUCAUCUGUGUAGGGGAAAAUCUCACCUGACUGCCCCUCUCACGAGGCAGCUUUAUUUAGACCCCAGGAAUUCCAGCCUUUACACUGGUGUGGUGCCUGCCGUGGAUUAUGCAAUGCAGGUGGCCAGGAGGCAUGGAUUUACUUUCCUGCCUUCACAAAGGAGGUGAUUUAGGGUGAGAGAAGAAGGGGAGGCCUCCCCCAGAAGCUGCUUUUCUCUCCUGGUAUGAAAAUUACAUCAAGCGCCUAAUGGGCUGUAGAGUGCUGAAAAGUUCAUGAGUCACGUCAGCAAAAAGAGAGAGAGAAAGCUCUUUUGCACAUCAUAAAUAUUUCAUCUGAAAUAUCAUUAUAUUUCCAUUAUCCUUCUGUCUUCACUACAGGCACAACACCGCUGUUUUCAACACAGUUUGGGGCACCUGGCCAUUUCUUCUUCUUCACACCGCACCCAAAAGGAGCAGAAAUUCAUUAGAACAUAGACCCAUGGGCUCAGGCCACUAGCCCAAUUAGUCCAGCAUCCUAUUGACACAGUGGACAACCAGAUGCCCCCCAUUGAAAGCCCACAAGCAAGACAGCAACUCUUCAGUUUCUGUUCCCCAUCACCUGGUAUUCAGAGGUAGACUGCCCUUAGGCCUGGAGGUUCUGCUAUCGGAAUAGACCUCCAUAAGAAAUGCCCUGCAGCUGGAUCAGGCCAAUGGCCCAUCUGGUCCAGCUUCUUGUUCUCACAGUGGCCAACCAGGUGCCUCAAAGGGAAACCUCCAAGGAGGACCUGAGCACAAGGGCACCAUUCAGGCCAACUCACAUUUUCAAUGCAAACCUAAUUUGCACUUUGCAAAACAAUAUGCCAAGCAAAACAUAGCUAUCCUUCAAAAUUUGUACUACAGUGGAC
rnacentral:lncRNA from 1 species